UACGUAGGGGGCAAGCGUUGUCCGGAUUCAUUGGGCGUAAAGAGCGUGUAGGCGGUUUGUUAAGUCAUGUGUGAAAUCCCUCGGCUCAACCGGGGAACGACGCAUGAAACUGGCAAGCUAGAGUACCAAAGAGGGGGGUGGAAUUCCCGGUGUAGCGGUGAAAUGCGUAGAUAUCUGGAGGAACACCGGUGGCGAAGGCGGCAUCCUGGACCAUAACUGACGCUGAGGCGCGAAAGCUAGGGGAGCAAACGGG
rnacentral:rRNA from 1 species